rfam:Schistosoma curassoni strain Dakar, Senegal genome assembly, scaffold: SCTD_scaffold0004879
AUUCAGCUGACGAGUCCUAAAUAGAACGAAGUGUUACGCAUCCUAGAU